GCCGGGCACCCCUCCGCGCUCUGCCCGUGUCUGCGCGGCGCUCCGCUCCCUCCAGCUGUUCCCAUCAGGAAUUUGCCACACCGGUUUGCCAAGAAAAAUGUUACUCAGCAACAACAUCUUCCUCAUUAUCUUCAGUGCAACGUGUUGCAAACCUAAGGCUGCCUUGAGGAGUGGAAGCUUUCUAUAAAACAAAGAAAGGACCGGAAGACCAUUGCCUCUGCGAUCCCGGGCAUCAUGCUCUCAAUCAAGACUACAUUCAAGCAGGUUUUCUGAAAUCAAGGCUAAUAGAUCAGAUUCGGUCCAUUGAAAUCAGUGAAGUUAUUUUCAUCAGCAUUACUAGUCCCUGGAUCUUCCACAGCUGUAGA